GAUGAACGCUGGCGGCGUGUCUAAGGCAUGCAAGUCGAACGGACUGUUAUUUGUAGCAAUACUUAGAACAGUUAGUGGCAAACGGGUGCGUAACACAUUGGUAACCUGCCUCAAAGUCGGGCAUAAUCCCGCGAAAGUGGGACUAAUUCCACGAUGGUCAUCGAAGGUGAGAUUCCUUCGAUGUAAAGUCGCAAGACGCUUUGAGAGGGGCCUAUGGCCUAUCAGCUUGUUGGUGAGGUAACGGCUCACCAAGGCUAUGACGGGUAGGGGUGGUGGAGAGGCGGACCGGCCGACACUGGGACGUGAGACACGGCCCGACGACUCCUACGGACGGGCGAGCAGUGGGGAA
rnacentral:rRNA from 1 species